CAGUAGCCGCGGGAAUACGUAUGUCACAAGCGUUGUCCGGAUUUAUUGGGCGUAAAGCGAGCGCAGGCGGUUAGAUAAGUCUGAAGUUAAAGGCUGUGGCUUAACCAUAGUACGCUCUGGAAACUGUUUAACUUGAGUGCAAGAGGGGAGAGUGGAAUUCCAUGUGUAGCGGUGAAAUGCGUAGAUAUAUGGAGGAACACCGGUGGCGAAAGCGGCUCUCUGGCUUGUAACUGACGCUGAGGCUCGAAAGCGUGGGGAGCAAACAGGAUUAGAUACCCCCGUAGUCCCUGUCUCUUAUACC
rnacentral:rRNA from 1 species